rnacentral:lncRNA from 1 species
AAAAAAAAAAAAAAAAAAAAAAAAAAAAAAAAAAAAAGGAAAAGCCCAAAACAAAUGGGCUGACAUGUUGUGGAGGGCAAAGGCCCAUAGGCCUGAAAUAGCACCAACCAGGUCAUCAAAAGUACGCCCAGUACUCCGCAAUUAUUCGGCAACCCGCCGUUAUUACCACCAACCAGGUGAUCAAAAGUACGCCCAGUACUCCGCAAUUAUUCGGCAACCCGCCGUUAUUACCACCAACCAGGUGAUCAAAAGUACACCCAGUACUCCACAAUUAUUCGGCAACUCGCCGCUAUUACCACCAACCAGGUGAUCAAAAGUACGCCCAGUACUUCAAGUCAUACAUGAGCAUUACUCAUGUCAAUCAUACAUAAACAUUCAUGAGCAUCACUCAUCCAAUCAUACAUAAACAUUCAUGAGCAUCACUCAUGUUAACAUUCAUGAGCAUCACUCAUGUUAACAUCCAUGAGCAUCACUCAUGUCAAUCAAACAUAAACAUUCAUGAGCAUCACUCAUGUCAAUCAGCUUC